rnacentral:rRNA from 1 species
GGGAUGGACUAUCUCAGGUACUGUCAUUAUCAUCCCUGGUAAAAGAGCUUUACGACCCUAAGGCCUUCAUCACUCACGCGGCAUUGCUGGAUCAGGCUUGCGCCCAUUGUCCAAUAUUCCCCACUGCUGCCUCCCGUAGGAGUCCCCCCGUGCCCCCGCCCCGCCCGCCGCGCGCGGCGGGCAAGGCG